CACACGCAUGGAUAGAAGUGGAGGACCCUGAAACAACCUACCAUGAAACCAGAUUCAGUAAAACAACCACCACUGCCCCAAACACACCAAUGUUAAUACCAGCAGGACCAAUCUUUCCUGCUGGGAGCAAUCCCUCAAGACCCAGGAGCUUUUCUGGGAUGUGUUUACAGCACAUGACGGUCUGAUGCUCCUGUCAUGUGUGCUAGAAAAAUCAUGGAAUAAUGCCUGUGUGACCAUACCAGAAUGAGUGAACCAAGGUUAGCUUUGAUGGCCUUGUGGCUUAGGAUUGCUGUUUUGUGUGAAUUUCUGCUUUGGGAGUGCCAAAAUGGCUUCUUUGAUACUGAGGCAGAAGAGCUCAUGAGCUUUGUGAGGUUCACAGGAGUUGAGCAGACUUGAGCUAUUCUUCGCACUGUCCCUGUGGUGUACUCUGAGCCUGGAGAGCUGAU